GGAGGACGCCGGGCCGUCGCGGCGCGCAAGCGUCGAGGAACGUCCGGGCUCCAUCGGGCAAGGUGCAGGAUAACGUCCUGUCGGGGCAACUCGAAGGAAAGUGCCACAGAAACAUACCGCCGGGGGCUUCGACAAGCUCAGCCUGACAAAGGCUCAGCCUGACGAGAUCACGGUAAGGGUGAAAUCGUGCGGUAAGAGCGCACGGCGUUCCGCGGAGACACGGGCGCGGGUAAACCCCACCUGGAGCAAGACCGCUCGCCCUUCGACAAGCCCAGGAUGACUGGGUUCGUCGAACCGCCGGCCCGGCGGAACGAGCAAUGUCGCACCGAGGUCGGUCGUGAGGCCGGCCCCAGAGAGAUGACGGCCACGGCUUCUUCGGAAGCUUGGACAGAAUCCGGCGUACAGGCGUCCUCCGCGC
rnacentral:RNase_P_RNA from 1 species